UCCGCCAUGGUGUAAUGGCAACACAGCGGCCUUUGAAGCCGUUAUUCCAGGUUCGAGUCCUGGUGGCGGAGC
rnacentral:tRNA from 1 species